rnacentral:rRNA from 1 species
GAGUUUGAUCCUGGCUCAGGACGAACGCUGGCGGCGUGCUUAACACAUGCAAGUCGAACGGAAAGGCCCCGCUCGCGGGGUACUCGAGUGGCGAACGGGUGAGUAACACGUGGGUGAUCUGGCCUGCACUUCGGGAUAAGCCUGGGAAACUGGGUCUAAUACCGGAUAUGACCUCCCUUUAGUGUGGGGGGUGGAAAGAUUUAUCGGUGCAGGGUGAGCCCGCGGCCUAUCAGCUUGUUGGUGGGGUAAUGGCCUACCAAGGCGUCGACGGGUAGCCGGCCUGAGAGGGUGGACGGCCACAUUGGGACUGAGAUACGGCCCAGACUCCUACGGGAGGCAGCAGUGGGGAAUAUUGCACAAUGGGCGGAAGCCUGAUGCAGCGACGCCGCGUGGGGGAUGACGGCCUUCGGGUUGUAAACCUCUUUCGACAGGGACGAAGUGAAAAUGACGGUACCUGUAUAAGAAGCACCGGCUAACUACGUGCCAGCAGCCGCGGUAAUACGUAGGGUGCGAGCGUUGUCCGGAAUUACUGGGCGUAAAGAGCUCGUACGUGGUUUGUCACGUCGUCUGUGAAAUUCCGGGGCUUAACCUCGGGCGUGCACGCGAUACGGGCAAUACUUGACUGCUGUAGGGGAGACUGGAAUUCCUGGUGUACCGGUGAAAUGCGCAGAUAUCAGGAGGGAACACCAAUGGCGAAGGCAGGUCUCUGGGCAGUUACUGACGCUGAGGAGCGAAAGCAUGGGUAGCGAACAGGAUUAGAUACCCUGGUAGUCCAUGCCGUAAACGGUGGGCGCUAGGUGUAGGGGACUUCCACGUUCUCUGUGCCGUAGCUAACGCAUUAAGCGCCCCGCCUGGGGAGUACGGCCGCAAGGCUAAAACUCAAAGGAAUUGACGGGGGCCCGCACAAGCGGCGGAGCAUGUGGAUUAAUUCGAUGCAACGCGAAGAACCUUACCUGGGCUUGACAUACACCGGACCGGCGUAGAGAUACGUCUUCCCUUGUGGCCGGUGUACAGGUGGUGCAUGGUUGCCGUCAGCUCGUGUCGUGAGAUGUUGGGUUAAGUCCCGCAACGAGCGCAACCCUUGUCUUAUGUUGCCAGCACGUGAUGGUGGGGACUCAUGAGAGACUGCCGGGGUCAACUCGGAGGAAGGUGGGGAUGACGUCAAAUCAUCAUGCCCCUUAUGUCCAGGGCUUCACACAUGCUACAAUGGUCGGUACAGCAGGUCGCGAACUCGUGAGAGUAAGCCAAUCCUUCAAAGCCGGCCUCAGUUCGGAUUGGGGUCUGCAACUCGACCCCAUGAAGUCGGAGUCGCUAGUAAUCGCAGAUCAGCAACGCUGCGGUGAAUACGUUCCCGGGCCUGUACACACCGCCCGUC